CCUGGCGCGGUGGCUCAAGCCUGUAAUCCCAGCACUUUGGGAGGCCGAGACGGGCGGAUCACGAGGUCAGGAGAUCGAGACCAUCCUGGCUAACCUGGUGAAACCCUGUCUCUACUAAAAAAAUAAAUANNNNNNNNNNUAUUUAUUUUUUUAGUAGAGACAGGGUUUCACCAGGUUAGCCAGGAUGGUCUCGAUCUCCUGACCUCGUGAUCCGCCCGUCUCGGC
rfam:Chlorocebus sabaeus isolate 1994-021 chromosome 2, whole genome shotgun sequence.